GGAGUACUCCCUCCGUCCGGAAAUACUUGUCAUCAAAAUGAAUAAAAGGAGAUGUAUCUAGAUGAAUUUUAACUCUAGAUACAUCCCUUUUUAUUCAUUUUGAUGACAAAUAUUUUCGGACGGAGGGAGUAAUGU
rfam:Triticum aestivum genome assembly, contig: Triticum_aestivum_CS42_TGACv1_scaffold_595011_7BS